rnacentral:hammerhead_ribozyme from 1 species
ACCCGGGUGACGAGUCCCACAUAGGACGAAAUGCGCGUGUUGGAU